CUAAAGAAGAGGUUAUGUUUGUAUCUAUUUUUCAAUGAUUUUUCAUUGUUUAUCGUCGUAUUUUGGAUUCAUUUGGAUUUCGUUUCCUGUUUUUGUGAACUUUAUAAACUUUACCACAAUGCGAACUGAUUAUUUAAGGAAAUUAUUAUUGGAAACUCCAGAUGUUGCGAGAAAGAUAUUUAUUGAAGCUGAAAAUAAUUGGGGAUUUAGAUCCAUACGGAAUUCAGUCAGAAUUGGAUUUUACAGUAAAGUGCAGUCCAUCAAGUUACUAUUAUAGAUAUGUAUUUAUACAGAUCUGGUGGAGUCUCACAGUUGCUACUCUAAGCAGCAGAUGAAAGCAUACAAAAGCCUUCAGGCACAUAAAUAUUUUACAGCUGGAUUUGUUUUGAAUGGAGUAAAAAUUGUUAAUGAUUUCCUGAUUUCCAUAUUAUUGUUGGAAAGGUGAAGCAUUUCCAAAAAGCUAAUGCUAAACGACUAAAUGCUUGGGUGGGGUGAUAGCCAGUUCUGAUGACAUAGCAAAUGCACAUUGUAUGCGUAUGGCCGGUAAUAGUGAAGUCUGCAGCCAUAUUGCAGCAAUCCUAUUUUUAGCUGAGUAUGCCCAGAUCAAGACAGACGAAGAAGAACCCAAUGCAUGUACAUAUGUUACAGCUACAUGGUUUGGAGAUAGCAACAUAUGCAUUCUCUGAUGAAAAACUAAUGAGUUUUGAAACUGUUCGGUCAGAGUGCUUGUUGCGCUCACUAAACGAACUGAAAUAUAAGAAGUCUUUGGCAUUGUGUUGCAGCGAUAUAAAAAUGGUUAUUCAUUUUUAAUUAUAAUGUACUUCUUCAUCAUGAGUAAUUAUGUAUUGGUCUUUUAGAUGUGUAUUUAUUUUUGUAAUUAGUAUCAACUUGUAAUGAUAAUAUACAUUUAUCGUUUAAGGUACGACUAUGUUUUGACUCUAAAAUAAAUGUUUUAAAAAUCGAA